GAUGAACGCUGGCGGCGUGCCUAAUACAUGCAAGUCGAGCGAACAGACGCGGCGCUUGCUCCUCUGUCGUUAGCGGCGGACGGGUGAGUAACACGUGGAUCACCUACCUAUCAGACUGGGAUAAUUACGGGACACCGGCGCUAAUCCCGGAUAAUAUCUUGAACCGUAUGGUUCAAUAGUGAAAGACGGUUUUGCUGUCACUUAUAGCUGGAUCUGGGCUGCAUUAGCUAGUUGGUAAGGUAACGGCCUACCAAGGCGACUAUGCGUAGCCGACCGGAGAGAGUGAUCGGCCACACUGGAACUUGAACACGGACCUGACGCCUGCGGGAGGCAGCAGUAGGGAAUCGUCCGCAGUGGGCGGAAGCCUGACGGAGCAGCGCGGCGUGAGUGAUAAAGGUCUUCGGAGCGUAAAACUCGGUUAUGGGUGAAGAACAGAUGUGGAAGUAACUGUGCACUUCGUGACGGUACCGAAUCAGAAAGCCACGGCUAACUACGUG
rnacentral:rRNA from 1 species